rnacentral:rRNA from 1 species
AGUGAACGCUGGCGGCAGGCCUAACACAUGCAAGUCGAGCGAGCGGCGGACGGGUGAGUAAUGUCGGGGAAACGGCCUGAUGGAAGGGGAUAACGACGGGAAACGGUAGUUAAAACCGAAAACGAAGAGAGGGGCCAAGUUGUGACUGGCUGGUAGUUGGGGAAUCGGCUCACCUAGGCGAGGAUCCCUAUCUGGUCUGAGGGGAUGACCAGCAACACUGGAGCUGCGACACGGUCCAACCUCCUACGUGAGGCACCAGUGGGGAAUAUUGCACAAUGAGCGCUAGCCUGAUGCAGCCAUGCCGCGUGUGUGAAGAAGGCCUUCGCGUUGUAAAGCACUGUCAGCGGCGAGGCGUUACCCGCAGAAGAAGCACCGGCUAACUCCGUGCCAGCAGCCGCGGUAAUUC